CCUACGGGUGGCAGCAGUGAGGAAUAUUGGUCAAUGGACGAGAGUCUGAACCAGCCAAGUAGCGUGAAGGAUGACUGCCCUAUGGGUUGUAAACUUCUUUUAUAAAGGAAUAAAACGAGGCACGUGUGCCUUUUUGCAUGUACUUUAUGAAUAAGGAUCGGCUAACUCCGUGCCAGCAGCCGCGGUAAUACGGAGGAUCCGAGCGUUAUCCGGAUUUAUUGGGUUUAAAGGGAGCGUAGAUGGGUUGUUAAGUCAGUUGGGAAAGUUUGCGGCUCAACCGUAAAAUUGCAUUUGAUACUGGCAGUCUUGAGUACAGGUGAGGUAGGCGGAAUUCGUGGUGUAGCGGUGAAAUGCUUAGAUAUCACGGAGAACCCCGAUUGCGAAGGCAGCUUACUAAACUGUGACUGACAUUGAUGCUCGAAAGUGUGGGUAUCAAACAGGAUUAGAUACCCUGGUAGUC
rnacentral:rRNA from 1 species